UACGGGGGGGAGCAAGCGUUGUUCGGAUUUACUGGGCGUAAAGGGCGCGUAGGCGGUCGUGACAAGUCACUUGUGAAAUCUCCGGGCUUAACUCGGAACGGUCAAGUGAUACUGUCGGACUAGAGUACAGAAGGGGCAACUGGAAUUCUCGGUGUAGCGGUGAGAUGCGUAGAUAUCGAGAGGAACACCUGCGGCGAAGGCGGGUUGCUGGGCUGAUACUGACGCUGAGGCGCGAAAGCCAGGGGAGCGAACGGG
rnacentral:rRNA from 1 species